rnacentral:rRNA from 1 species
GAGGAAUAUUGGUCAAUGGACGAGAGUCUGAACCAGCCAAGUAGCGUGAAGGAUGACUGCCCUAUGGGUUGUAAACUUCUUUUAUACGGGAAUAAAGUUAGCCACGUGUGGCUUUUUGUAUGUACCGUAUGAAUAAGGAUCGGCUAACUCCGUGCCAGCAGCCGCGGUAAUACGGAGGAUCCGAGCGUUAUCCGGAUUUAUUGGGUUUAAAGGGAGCGUAGGCGGGUUGUUAAGUCAGUUGUGAAAGUUUGCGACUCAACCGUAAAAUUGCAGUUGAUACUGGCGACCUUGAGUGCAACAGAGGUAGGCGGAAUUCGUGGUGUAGCGGUGAAAUGCUUAGAUAUCACGAAGAACUCCGAUUGCGAAGGCAGCUUACUGGAUUGUAACUGACGCUGAUGCUCGAAAGUGUGGGUAUCAAACAGGAUUAGAUACCCUGGUAGUCCACACAGUAAACGAUGAAUACUCGCUGUUGGCGAUAUACGGUCAGCGGCCAAGCGAAAGCAUUAAGUAUUCCACCUGGGGAGUACGCCGGCAACGGUGAAACUCAAAGGAAUUGACGGGGGCCCGCACAAACGGAGGAACAUGUGGUUUAAUUCGAUGAUACGCGAGGAACCUUACCCGGGCUUAAAUUGCAACUGACUGAACCGGAAACGGUUCUUUCUUCGGACAGUUGUGAAGGUGCUGCAUGGUUGUCGUCAGCUCGUGCCGUGAGGUGUCGGCUUAAGUGCCAUAACGAGCGCAACCCUUAUCGAUAGUUACUAGCAGGUCAUGCUGAGGACUCUAUUGAGACUGCCGUCGUAAGAUGUGAGGAAGGUGGGGAUGACGUCAAAUCAGCACGGCCCUUACGUCCGGGGCUACACACGUGUUACAAUGGGGGGUACAGAAGGCAGCUACACGGCGACGUGGUGCUAAUCCCGAAAGCCUCUCUCAGUUCGGAUUGGAGUCUGCAACCCGACUCCAUGAAGCUGGAUUCGCUAGUAAUCGCGCAUCAGCCACGGCGCGGUGAAUACGUUCCCG